rnacentral:rRNA from 1 species
UACGGAGGGUGCAAGCGUUGUUCGGAAUCACUGGGCGUAAAGCGCGUGUAGGCGGUUCUCUAAGUCUGGUGUGAAAGCCCGGGGCUCAUCCCCGGAAGUGCACUGGAGACUGGAGGGCUUGAGUACCGGAGAGGAGGGUGGAAUUCCUGGUGUAGCGGUGAAAUGCGUAGAUAUCAGGAGGAACACCGGUGGCGAAGGCGGCCCUCUGGACGGCUACUGACGCUGAGACGCGAAAGCGUGGGGAGCAAACAGG